AACUUCUGAAUGUUGACCUCGGAUCAGGUAGGAAUACCCGCUGAACUUAAGCAUAUCAAUAAGCGGAGGAAAAGAAACCAACAGGGAUUGCCCUAGUAACGGCGAGUGAAGCGGCAACAGCUCAAAUUUGAAAUCUGGCUUUCGGGCCCGAGUUGUAAUUUGUAGAGGAUGAUUUUGAUGCGGUGCCUUCCGAGUUCCCUGGAACGGGACGCCAUAGAGGGUGAGAGCCCCGUCUGGUUGGAUGCCAAAUCUCUGUAAAUCUCCUUCGACGAGUCGAGUAGUUUGGGAAUGCUGCUCUAAAUGGGAGGUAUAUGUCUUCUAAAGCUAAAUACCGGCCAGAGACCGAUAGCGCACAAGUAGAGUGAUCGAAAGAUGAAAAGCACUUUGAAAAGAGAGUUAAAAAGUACGUGAAAUUGUUGAAAGGGAAGCGUUUAUGACCAGACUUGGGCUUGGUUAAUCAUCUGGGGUUCUCUCCAGUGCACUUUUCCAGUCCAGGCCAGCAUCAGUUUUCGCCGGGGGAUAAAGGCUUCGGGAAUGUGGCUCCCCUCGGGGAGUGUUAUAGCCCGUUGUGUAAUACCCUGGUGGGGACUGAGGUUCGCGCUUCUGCAAGGAUGCUGGCGUAAUGGUCAUCAACGACCCGUCU
rnacentral:rRNA from 17 species